rnacentral:rRNA from 1 species
GACGUAUAGAGCCAGUGUUAUUUUUCGUAAUUUGGCGUAAAGGGUGCGUAGGCUGCGUGUUAAACAAAAUUUAGUGAUACAUGGGUAGACCGUGGAAAGUUUUUUUGAAAUGGCACGAUUGAAUUUGAAAGAGGUAAGCGGUAUUUGUAGGGGAAAAGUGAAAUGUAUAGAUCCUACAGGAACCAUCAGUGGCAAAGGCGGCUUACCAUAUUAAAUUGACGCUGAGGCACGAAGGUAUAGGUAUCGAACGGG